AGUGAACGCUGGCGGCAGGCCUAACACAUGCAAGUCGAGCGGCAGCGCGGGGGCAACCCUGGCGGCGAGCGGCGGACGGGUGAGGAAUUCGUCGGAAUCUGCCUUUUUGUGGGGGAUAACGUAGGGAAACUUACGCUAAUACCGCAUACGUCCUACGGGAGAAAGUGGGGGACCGCAAGGCCUCACGCUGCAAGCUGAGCCGACGACCGAUUAGCUAGUUGGUGGGGUAAAGGCCCACCAAGGCGACGAUCGGUAGCUGGUCUGAGAGGAUGAUCAGCCACACUGGGACUGAGACACGGCCCAGACUCCUACGGGAGGCAGCAGUGGGGAAUAUUGGACAAUGGGCGCAAGCCUGAUCCAGCCAUGCCGCGUGUGUGAAGAAGGCCUUCGGGUUGUAAAGCACUUUUGUCCGGAAAGAAAUCCCUGGAGCUAAUACCUUCGGGGGAUGACGGUACCGGAAGAAUAAGCACCGGCUAACUUCGUG
rnacentral:rRNA from 1 species